CCACCAUAUUCGUUUUCCUAUCUUGUGCUUCGUGUCAGGUUUCUGGGGCAUUCUAUUAUAGUGCACCAAAUUAUAACAGACGCCCAAGUAUCUCCACAUCACGGGAUAAUCCGUUUAUAUCGAACCCAUAUAAUAAUUAUAACAGUCCUCCUCGACAAGACAUGUGCUCGGUAAAUGGACCAAACGAUAUCCGGAGAAUCCUUCCAGGACGUUUCAUGUCGGAGGGUGAUUUAUUGGCAAUGGUACCAACAAGUUUUAAUGCGAGACCCCGUGCAAGUUCUUACAGAUCUGUUAAGAAGAUAGUUGUUAGUCGAUUUACAGAAUCUGGAUUCAGUAAGCCCGGGACCUCGCCGUACAUCAAUGAUGGCAUUUGUGGCUGUUGUGUAACUGAGUUAAGUUAUGAGAUAGUAGAACAAAUUACAGAUUUUGAUGGAAAUAAUCACACAAUAAUCAACUUUAAUAACGCAUAUCAGUUUAUCCCAUCAGGACGAUGCUCGAAUGAGAAUGCACCGUGUGCUGGUGGAACAGCAAGAUGUAAACAAGUCACACGAGCUCACUGGAGUUUGGUUUGGACACCCGCUGUAGGCGCAAGACUGGUAGCACAUGAAGUACCAUCACAUUGUCAAUGCAUAAAUCUUGGAGCAGCUUCGAGCCCACCCGCUAGAGGUUAAUAAACUUGCCCACAUUUAACAAUUGUCCAGUUGGUAUUUAUAAUACUAGUCUAAUAUAAGGGAAGCACGAAUUGCUAUAUUGCAUUAGUUUAUACUCAUUAUACCGCAUGGUGGUCGUACCCUCAUAGCUGUGUUUCAGCAGCUUAAAGGGAAAUUCGGUAAGUUUAGAUAAAGAGCUGACAGUUCUCGCUAUAACACUUAAAAUAGAUAAUGAAAACAGAUUAUGCUGAAAUUUGCAGUCAAAUUACUUCACUCUGAAUCGAGAUAUGAGCGAUUCAAUUUAGGCUAGCCUCGAUUGUCAGUACUAAACAAAGUCUGCAUUAUCCAUCUUUACGUUAAAUUAUGUAUCACAAAAUGUAUUCGAAUCUACUAAAUAUCGAAGUCUAACGAUGGCACCAGGGUUGAUUAUGGCUUGGAUAAGUUAAUAAAUAAAUGUCUAAUCAUUAAUUUAGAUAACAUUUCAGGUCUAAUAGACAGAUUUAGCUCUUGAACAAUGUACGUUUAAACCGUGAGAAUUUGAAAGAUGAAUAGAUUGUUGAAUGUGUUGUUAAUGUUGAAUAAAUUAUAUUAAUUUAUAUAACAUUUAAGGUCUAAAGAAAGACCUGUAAUAGACAGAUUUAACUCUUGUAUAAUGUAUGUUUAUGGAAGUACUAGGUGAAUCAUAUCCAUUCUCAAAAUCAAAAACACACUUUUAUGGAUAACAUUUACUAUUGUUUAUUUCACUGCGACGUUUCAACAAGGUUUCAUAUUCAUUGAUAGUAAAUACUCUAUUUUGGUUCUGACUACCAGAUAGCAUUGGAUAUGGUUUCAAGAAUAUUCUACAUCACCAAGUCUUACACGACUUGAAUCUAAAUUGACGCGAAAUCGUGGCUAGCAAAACGACAUUUCUGUUUAACGAUAACUCAACAAAAAAAUGAAUCUGUAAAUAUGUAAAUAUUAUUAUAUUAAUGUGUCUUAUUAAAGAACUAUUUUUAGAAUAUGU